AAAAAAACAUAUCUCCCCCUUUCCUUCUUUAGUUCCCUCUUUCACUCUGCGCUGAUGAAAUUGAAGACUUCAAAGUCAUACAAAUUUGUGUUCAGCAGUUGAAGGAUAACGUGUGCGCAAAAUGCAAGCUAGGUGUUACAAUUUCUCUACUCACUUGCUUGAGGGGAAGUGUUGAAGGAAGCUUGACGACUGAUGGAACACGUCGAAGGAACAAGUCCAUUGAAGCAGGACGACGAGUUAGAGUUAGAUUCAUAUUAGGAUUGGACUACUAAAUCCUAAGUAUUGUACAAUUAAGAAACUGAAUAUUGUAGGAGUUGAUUAGGACAAGGUAUUUCACCUGUAAUAAAUUACUACUCCUGUAAUUAUUUGUAUUGUAGUAGGACUCCUAGUAUAACUAGAAUAGGACUCUUCUCCUAUGUAAGAAGUUUGUAACUCAACAUUAUAAUCAUCAAUACAUCCUUGAUUUAUA